UUCGCCACUGGUGUUCCUUCCUAUAUCUACGCAUUUCACCGCUACACAGGAAAUUCCACCACCCUCUACCGUACUCUAGCUUGCCAGUUUUGGAUGCAGUUCCCAGGUUGAGCCCGGGGCUUUCACAUCCAACUUAACAAACCACCUACGCGCGCUUUACGCCCAGUAAUUCCGAUUAACGCUUGCACCCUCUGUAUUACCGCGGCUGCUGGCACGUAGUUAGCCGGCGCUUCUUCUGCAAGUACCGUCACCCCCAAAGGGGGCUUCUUCCCUACUGAAAGAGGUUUACAACCCGAAGGCCGUCAUCCCUCACGCGGCGUCGCUGCAUCAGGCUUGCGCCCAUUGUGCAAUAUUCCCCACUGCUGCCUCCCGUAGGAGUCUGGGCCGUGUCUCAGUCCCAGUGUGGCCGGUCACCCUCUCAGGCCGGCUACCCGUCGUCGCCUUGGUAGGCCAUUACCCCACCAACUAGCUAAUCCGACCUAGGCUCAUCUGAUAGCGCAAGGCCCGAAGGUCCCCUGCUUUCUCCCGUAGGACGUAUGCGGUAUUAGCGUUCCUUUCGAAACGUUGUCCCCCACUACCAGGCAGAUUCCUAGGCAUUACUCACCCGUCCGCCGCUGAAUCAAGGAGCAAGCUCCCGUCAUCCGCUC
rnacentral:rRNA from 1 species